AAAAUACCAAUAAAGAACAGAAUUAUAGUCGCAUGAUAGAUAAUAU
rnacentral:guide_RNA from 1 species